AUACGUAGGGGGCGAGCGUUGUCCGGAAUGAUUGGGCGUAAAGGGCGCGUAGGCGGCGCGGUAAGUCUGGAGUGAAAGUCCUGCUUUCAAGGUGGGAAUUGCUUUGGAUACUGACGCGCUUGAGUGCAGGAGAGGUUAUCGGAAUUCCCGGUGUAGCGGUGAAAUGCGUAGAGAUCGGGAGGAACACCAGUGGCGAAGGCGGGUAACUGGACUGCAACUGACGCUGAGGCGCGAAAGUGUGGGGAGCAAACAGGAUUAGAUACCCUGGUAGUCCACACUGUAAACGAUGAAUGCUAGGUGUAAGAGGUAUCGACCCCUUUUGUGCCGGAGUCAACACAAUAAGCAUUCCGCCUGGGGAGUACGGCCGCAAGGUUGAAACUCAAAGGAAUUGACGGGG
rnacentral:rRNA from 1 species